GAUGAACGCUAGCGGCAGGCUUAAUACAUGCAAGUCGAGGGGUAACAGGUCUGUAGCAAUACAGACGCUGACGACCGGCAAACGGGUGCGGAACACGUACAGAACCUUCCUUCGAGUGGGAGAUAGCCCAGGGAAACUUGGAGUAAUAUCCCAUAGGAUCAUAGAGUGGCAUCACUUAGUGAUUAAAGAUUUAUCGCUUGAAGAUGGCUGUGCGGCUGAUUAGGUAGUUGGUGUAGGUAACGGCUCACCAAGCCUUCGAUCAGUAACUGGUGUGAGAGCACGACCAGUCACACGGGCACUGAGACAGGGGCCCGACGCCUACGGGAGGCAGCAGUAAGGAAUAUUGGGCAAUGGAGGCAACUCUGACCCAGCCAUGCCGCGUGGAGGAUGAAGGUCCUCUGGAUUGUAAACUUCUUUUAUUUGGGAAGAAAUGCCAAUUUUCUAAUUGGUUUGACGGUACCAGAUGAAUAGGCACCGGCUAACUCCGUGCCAGCCGCCGCGGUAAUAC
rnacentral:rRNA from 1 species